UAAUAUAACACUAGCCCUCUUUAUUUUUAACAGUGGAGAGAAGAUUCUAGAGAAUGACAAAGACCAUUAAACCCCUUAGGGUCCAUUUGGUAACUAACACUUUCCCUAAAACCCAUAAAACCCAUUAUUAUAACAGUUUGUAAUCAGGAUUCUAAGGUAAUUGUUUUGGUGGUUUAUGUUGAUGAUAUUAUUCGUAUUUGUAAGGAUUUGUUUGGAAUUGAAGAUGUCAAAUCUUAUUUGUAGCAACAUUUUCAGAUGAAGGAUCUAGGUGCUGUCGGGUAUUUUCUAGGUAUUGAGGUUGUUCGAAGCAAAAAAUGUAUUGGCCUUUUCUCAGAAAAAGUACUUUCUUGAUUUACUAUCUGAGAGUCUGAGACUGGUAUGUUAGCUUCCAAACCUAUUGAUGCACCCAUGGAUCCACAUUAGAUUAGCAAUCUGUGGUGAUAAUGAAUUUGUAGACAAACAUCAGUAUCGAUGGCUGGUUGGUAAACUAAUUUAUCUCACCAUGACUAGGCUAGAGAUAUCCUUUGUAGUGAGUGUUGUAAGCCGGUUCAUGGAGUUGUCGAAGCAAGUUCACUGGGAGGCUCCAUGUCGCAUUCUCUAGUAUUUAAGGAUGAUCUAGGAAAAUGGCUCAUUUACUAAGGCCUUGGGAUGCCCCAGUAAGGAGGAAUGAUCAGAUUCAGAUAGAAGGAGAUAAAAGAGCUAGGGGUAGGCUUAAAAUGACUGUAGGAGUAGUAAUAAGAAAAGACAUGCAGAGUUUAGGUAUUGACUCUAGUAUGACCUCAAAUAGAACUGUUUGGAGGGUAGAGAUCCAUGUAGCCGAGACCCCAUUUAUGUGGGAUGUUCUUGAGGUGUUGCUUUGUUUAUUUCUUUUUACUUUAUUUUUAUUUUACCCUCUCAUGGAUCUAUGUAGCCUACCCCACUUAGUUGGGAAAAUGUUGAGUUGUUGUAUGGACAUGAUAAUAUUGUUGGUUGUUCUGAUGUUGAUUGGACUAGUGCUAAAGGUGUUUGAAGGUAUACCACUAAUUACUGUAUGUUUGUUCUUGCUCAACCUUGUCACUUGGAGUAAGAAAAAAACUACAAUGGUAAGCUCUAGUGCUGAAGCUGAGUAUAGGGCUAUGGCUUUCAUAUUGUUAUUGAACUUGAUGUGGUCGAAGAUUUUUCUUCAAGAACUUGGUUUUUCGAAUAAUAAACCUAUUGACAUGUACUGUGAUAAUCAGGCUCCUAUCUAUAUUGUUAGUAAUCCCAAAUUUUCAUGAAGAAAUAAGCAUAUUGAAGUUGAUUGUCAUUUUGUUCAUGAUUUUGUGAUGAGGAAGUUGAUCUCCAUUUCAUUUAUUAGCUCUGCUCAACAACUUGGUGACUUGUUUAUUAAAGCCUUGUUUGAAAAUGUAUUUCUUCAAGGGUUUUUCAAAUUGGACAUGGGUGAUAUUUGUGCUCCAACUUGAGGGGGAGUGUUAAGAGUUAAGGUGUUGUACUGCAAGGGUAUACUUGUCGUGCCUUUUCUUAUUACGUCAUAUGAGUGGGUACAUUAAGUAGGACUGCAUAUCUUUAUUAUGAAAAGGCACAUACUACUACCGAUUGGAGAUUAAUACCAUUCUUUCCAAUUGUUUGCACUCCAUUGCUACCUUCUGUUCUUUCUUUUCAUUUUCUCUUGCUUCUCCUCUUCUCUCUUUGUCUAGGCGUCAUUAGGGUUGGUUGGUUGGUUGUUUUAGAUCUGAAACUGUAACACUGCCUCCAUCUAUAUCUUAGCUAUAAAUUUUGUUUCGUUUUGGCCAGAGCUGAUUCAGUGAAAUUUUUGUAUUUGCGCUUCGGCUAUUUCAGUCCAGUCCUUUCAGUCUCUUCAGUUAUUUGAGUGCUUUUGGCUUAAACACAUACUAGAUGUGCAUUUGGAAUCUUUUGCAUCAAAAUUUGAUUUAAAUGGUUGGUAUCCUUAAUCUAAAAUUUCUUUAUUAAAUUUAAUAUUUAGGGCACAUCUAUAGUCUCAUGUUUUGUCCCAAUCAGUGUGAUCAAUAGCUGAGGUACCUUCUACCAAACUUGAAUCUUUGUGUUAGUGAUGCACCUUUGACCAUUGAUCAUUAAAGGUUACUGAGAAUGAUCUAAAGUGAAGAGGAAAAUUAGUUGAUUCAUCAGUUUAGAAAGUAUUUGAUCUUUUUAGAUGUGAUAUAUUAUACUAUAAUUGUAUUGUUUUCAAGUACCAAAAAAUCUCAUUUUUGGGACCAAACUGAAACAGGCACUAGAAAGAAAUUUACUACUAAGGUCUAGAAAGCCAGUUGUGGACUAGUGUGGUUGCUGCUUUGUAGUGUACCGCAUACUUAUGUAUAAUCUAAAGAGAUCGCUAUUCAUAGAUAUUUGGAGUUUGACAUUUCUUCUGGAAAAAAAGUGUCCAUCAGUUGGAAGGCGCCUUAUGUUUGUCAACUUUUGUGAUAUUACUCCAGACAUAUUUAUUCUCAAGAUAUAAACACAGCUAGUUCUAUACAUGUAAAGUUUCAGUUUAAAUAUUAGUUUUGGUUGUUAUAGUGCCAAUACAGUAGUUAACCAGCUAGUUUAUAUGUAAACUUUCAGUUUAAAAAUUAGUUUUGGUUUUUAUAUUGGCAAUACAGUAGUUAACCUGUUUCAUUAAUUAAAAGAGAAUUUUAUCCUACCAACUGAAGUACUGAACCAAUUUUUCAUAAUGAUCCUUUGAACUAUUUCUUUCAGUUCUGGGGAUGUCCGCAUCAACUGGAAUACUGUGAUGAAAAAUGGAACUACUCUCAAAACUGGAGAUAUUGUUUCAGUUAGUGGGAAAGGACGGCUGAAGAUUGGGGAGAUCAACAAAACGAAGAAGGGAAAAUUUGCAGUUGAGCUUAUUCAAUAUUUAUAAGCCUUAACGCAGGGGAAUUCUCAGCAGUUCAUCAUGACUAACUGAAAGCACUGAAGUAGAAGUUUUAUUGUGUCAUCAGAUACCCUAUUUUUGUGCCGAUGACUGUUUCUCUCGCUGUAGUUCACCAUUCUUUAGUAAACAUCAGUUUCAAGUGCUUAAAGUUACUUCUGAACCCAAUUGUUAAAAAGAUAUGUUGUCUUGUGUACCUCAGAAAAGAAACUUGUUCAGUAGAGAUCAUUCUUGAUGAACAAAGAAUCGAAGCAUGUUAAUAGCUAUUUGGAAAAACUGUAUAAAGGAAAAACAGUUAGAUCAGUCUCUAUAGAAAUGUGAGUUGCACAUCUUCACAGCUUACACUCUUUCAGAUCAGACCAUUUAUCGAUUUCAUUUUAUGAUAAACAAUGUAAUAUGGGAUUUGUUAAGGAGAUGAAGCCUCCUUGUACCUUGUAUUCAGAAUCAGUGUGCUAAUGAUAUUUUCUUUGGCUUGCCCUGUUUUUCAA